rnacentral:rRNA from 1 species
CGUGUAGGCGGGAAUACAAGUCAGAUGUGAAAUACUGUGGCUCAACCACAGAACGGCAUCUGAAACUGUAUUUCUUGAGUACUGGAGAGGAAAGCGGAAUUCCUAGUGUAGCGGUGAAAUGCGUAGAUAUUAGGAGGAACACCGGUGGCGAAGGCGGCUUUCUGGACAGUAACCGACGCUGAGACGCGAAAGCGUGGGGAGCAAACAGGAUUAGAUACCCUGGUAGUCC